UCUCUUUUUUUCUUUUAGAUUUGGGGCUCUUGAAACAUUCUGAGUAUGUUUGCGGGGGGUCCCAGAGGAGUUGUCCUGAAAGCUGCUCGGAGCAGCCACCUUUGCUGUCGCCCAGGCCUUGCCGGGUCGGCUCUGGCCGGCUGUCUGUGCUGCGGCUCCCGAGGCACCCCACCCCCGUCGGCCUCCUGCAACCAGGGUAGGAGGAUUGGGUUGGAGGGUCGAGUGCCGGGGGAGGGGGUCUUGUUUGUUUUUUAAAAAUUUUGUUUUUAUUUCUAUGGAGGACUACUCCUGGCGCUAGAAGGGUGCAGCAGUUGGCCCCAAAGUGGCCUGUGACUUGCCCAUCCCCCCUGUGCCAGGCAGCAGAGGGUGUUAGCUCUGGGAACACUAGCUGACAGGGCAUUUGCUUUGGGCCUGGGGUCCAGCCGAGGCCCAGGAAGCCGCCUCUGUGCGCACUUGCCCCGGGUGUUGCAGCGUGCGUGUGGGGGGUGUGUGGGGGGGGAGAUGGGCCGUCGCCAUGUCCCCCUCGCGCCUCCUUCCCUUCUCGUGAGGGCGGGUGUGGACGCAGUGAAGCAGUCCGUGAACCAGCCCCACGCGGAGGGGUCGAAGGAACAGCCUCAUCUGUUAAAUGGGCUCUGGGCACCCCGGCCGACGGCCCCCUCCCCUCCUCUGAGCAGGCGCGAGGUGGCCCGGGAGCCCGGCCAGCAGCCCCCGCCCCUCAGGCGGAGCUCGGGCCCUGGCAAUCUCUGCACUUUGUCAUCACGCCCGAGUAUUUGACAUUCGCAAUUAUCUGCAAAUACCCUGAUCGGUUUGUAUAUGAAACACUUUUUUUCCUGCCUUAAGGUUGGAAUCUGGUAAGUUUCAGACAAGUGGUUGCGGGGGGAGGUGACCCGGGGGACCGCGGGGGACCGGCCCGGUGAACCUGACUCGGCGAGGUGGGCGACCAGAAGAGCCGGGUCUGCGUGCCGCCCCCUGCCCCCAGCCCGGCGCGGAGGAAAGACUGGCGGAGGUGCGGCAGGCUCAGGCCGCGACCCUCGGGUCCUCCUGUGAAAGGAGCGCCCCCUAAUCCCUGCGAGCGGACGCCGAAGGGGGAGCGGGGAUCCCACCAGAGGGAAGGCCCAGAGGUUAAUCAUCUUGAUAACCGGAAAGGGCGCUGCCCGGCCUGGCUGCCAUCACAGAGCGUGUCAGUCACCAGCUCUCAAUCCCGCCACAGAAUUACCUGCUCACAGAGCCAUCCCGGGGAGCGCUCUGCUCCGCGCUCUUCCCGCCCGCCGCCUGCGGGAAGGACACCGUGUCCUAGUCCGAAAGAAGCGGAUGUCGCUUUGACCCUCCUCCGCCCCCAGACGGUUCCUAAAUCCAGGAGGGCAAUGCCAGCCCUGGAUCGCUCAGAACUGCUACAUCGCAGCUUCGGGCCACCUGCCUAUUACUUAGCCCGUCUACAAAAAGAAAAAUAGAAAAAGCGGGGCGGGAGAGGAAAAAGGAGCGAGAUUACUUGUCUGAUUUAUCUCUGCCUUAGGAACCUGGUCCUGGCCGCUGGCGGAGCCGAGGGCCUCGAGCCUGGGUACUGGGAGGCCAGACCCUGCCCGCCAGAGGUGCACACAGCCUGGGUGCCCCCGGCUCGGUGUCUCACUGGCCAAGAAGCCGAGCUCCUUUGCAGCGGGUGUCAGCAACUUUAGAAACAGCAAACUCUUCAGCGAAGCCCCCUCCCCACGCACUGAGCUCGCGGCUCUGCUACAGACGCGGGUUUAGGCGCCUUUCACAUACACUACUCACGUUUUCCGAGAAAAUGGGGAGAGGAGCACAUUAAAGAAAGGUGGGGGGGGGAUACUGCAACACUUUCAAGAAAAACUAGGGGUGGGGUGGGAAGGGAGUUUAGAAAGGCUGUCUGUAACAGCCCAGCUGCCAAAUCCCUGGCUGUUCUGAAAAGGAAGAAGGAGAGAAGCAGGCGGGAAAGGACUCCCUUCCUCCUCCCAGCCAUCUCCCUCUCAGCGCCCCCAGCCCAGGACACCCGGGCUGGGAACCCGAGAGUGUGCUCCUAGGAAGACAUCAGCCCUUCCGCCUCCAGCUCAGCCCAGGUCGCAGCCCCUGCCCGAGACUUCCUGGGAAGCAACCCGCAACGCCCACAGCAUUGGCCUCCUUUCCCCGACUCCUUGGAGAUUGGUCUGCGGCUUGAGUCCGGCUGCAGACACCCACUCCGGCCCUUAGAUUAGACCUGCCUUGGGCGUGGACGCCAAGGUGCGGUACCGAGGCCCCAAGCUGCGCCGAGGCUGGCGAGUUUCUGCCUGGGUCGGGAGAGGGGGUCCCAACAGCGGAGCCCGCUGCAGUCUGGUGACACCUACUGCGCCUCGCACUGCCUCCACGACGGCCCUUGGCCUGCGGAGAAGGAGGCAAGGGCAAGAUGCUCCGUGGCGGGUCAAACCUUCGCCCCUUUAUCUCCUACCAUGCUUUUCAUGUCCAUAUCUUUGUUAGUUAGGUGUAUGACUGCUAUAUUCCAGCGGCUUAUCCUACAUAAAAUACCCCACGGCUUGGGCGAGACUUUGCAAAUUUGGCAUCCCAGGUGAGCGGUCUUGAGUAUUCUGUGCCCUAUCCACCCACCUCGCCCGUGGGUACUCAGGGCAGCGCCCACUUGGCAGAACUGAUGGCCGUUCAGGCCUAGCAGAGUGCGCAUCGCCAAACCUGCACGUCCAAAAUGCAUCCUCGCCUCGCCGGAACGCUGAGCCGCGCAACUCUAAAGGAGCCCGCAUUCCGGAGCACGUGCAAGCAUCCUCCCGCUUUGAAAUGAAUUCGCGCUGCGUCUUUCAUCCCCAAAGGAAAAGCCUUUGGGGCGCUACUCAGACCGAAGACCUGGGAGAGAGAAGUCCCGAAGGCGGGGACCAGGGGCUUGGGCACUCUUCUGCUCACCUGGACUUGAGACACUCGAAGGCCCGAUUAACCAUCGGUUGUAUCAGGGCCGAUGGGUUCAAAGUGGCUGCGCCUCGCGGAGGCGCUCACUCCCCGGGUCCGGGUCUCCGAGGGCAUCUGGAAUCUGGGUGGGUUGUGCUGACUACCUGCAGCGCGCGCGGAUCCCAGGCCAGGAAAAAGGGCGCCGUGUAACGGGGACGGUCGGUUACCUCUCCAGGGAUCUGCCCUGACUUUGUUCGUAAUUUAAGAAGCCUCUGAACUCGGGGAGCGCUUGUUGGGGCACCUCCCUGCACACACACGCCCCCUCCUUCCCGGGCCUCGUAUCUUUCCCUCCACUCUCCCGUUCCCCCCACCCCCAACCCCGCGGCCCCGCCCGUUAGAGGCGCGCAGCGGGCACUCGGUUUACAGAGCCGCCGGUUCAGAUGUUUAUUCGCAGCUAAUUGCUGGUGCAGGAAAAUGCUUGCUACCCCGGCCGAGCGCUUCCGCCCUGUGCUGGCCGAUCCCGCCGGCGGCAGCUCGCUGAUCCCACCCGCGAAGCCACGGAGGAACCGGCGGCAGGGAGGCGGCUGUGCCACCCUGGGCCGGGCUACCGGCGCUGCCCCGGACUCCCGGUAGGGGGAGCCGCCGCGGGCACCAGGCCAGCCCGGCUCCAGGCCUCAGGUCGGCCCUGCUGCCAGCAGCCACCCGGAACGCAGAACGUGGGCGGCCUCCUCACCUGCCCUCCAGGUGCGUGCGGCCAGCAGAGAAGGGAACACAGGGCCGAGCCGGCUCCUCGUUCCCGGCUGUUGCAUCGCAAAGAAGCUACGCGAGACCUAAGUGCAUUCUUUAGGUCCAAAUAUAGUUAGGAAAAUUGGUAGGUAAGGAGAUCACCUCCUUUGCCCAUGCCUCUUAACACCAGUGAUUAAGAAUUCCUCUUAAUUCCACAAAUUUUGAGGCUUAUUUUAAAAAUUUUAGAUGAUCUAAUCCCUUCUCACUGUGUUUCCGAGUCAUUUAUUUCCAGGAGUUUCAGAUGGUCCCAGCACAAAAUAGGAGCUCAGAGGAGACCAGCUGGCUUUGCUGCCGGAUCACCGACCACUCCUCUCCCUUUCUGACUCUAUGUGCUCAAUAAAGGUUCCGCAGCUUUCAUUUUAAGAGAUGGCCAAUGUUGAGAGAGCAACCCUAACCCAGGGUCAAGGGGAAAGCAGCUAGGCGGACUGUGACCCCACAGGGCACCCCCCCCCCCAAAGGGCCCGGCGCAGCAGCACACCUAUGCUGAAGGGCCGGAGACUUCCGGCUCGCUACUCCCACAGAUGAAACAUGCAAGCCCUCCUUCUACAGAAACUCGUCCUUCCAGAGCAAGCCCCAACUCAUGAGAGCUCUCUUAAGGCCGAGUCCUUAAAGUCUCUCCACAGAGAAUUACAAAAGCAAAGAAUUUCACACUUGGAAGGAAACUUAAAGACCAUCUAGCUCAACUGAUGUAGUUUGCUGGCGAGGAACUUAAGCUGAGUGGAGGCAAAGAAUCACACUUCAGGUGAGACAGCCCCUGGAUACCAGCUGAGACUGGAACUCUCCUCUCCGGACCCUCAGUCUAGUCCAGUUUCGACUAUGGGGCACUAGAAAUGCAUUUUACUGUUGUCAUUAUCCUUGUAGUUAUUAUCGUGUUUCCACAUGUUUUAGGGUUCUUAGUAAGGCAUGCUCUUUUAAUAAUAACAAAAUUUGCAACGUCUGUGUGAAAAGAGUACUACAUUUGGCUCAAAAGGAGGCUGAAUUUUAGAAAUGAAGUUACAUAUAGUAUUGAAGCUUUUGGAGGAAAGACUAAACAAAAAUUUGUAUUGUUUUAUAUCAACUUAAGAACAUCAGAUACGUGCAAAUACAUGAAUGAAUGAACGAAACAGAAGAAAAACCACAGGAUUGUUGGCAUUAUCAAGGAGAGGAUUUCAAAGCCAGGCUCCUUUCAGCCUCAAUCACUGAACCGGUUUUUAAGGAGAAAGACUUUUAAUCCAAGUCCUGUUAAAAAUGCUAACUAAACCACCUGGAGAAACUCUGCAUUGUAACAUCUGCCUAGGAAUUACCACACACAACAGCAUCUACAGCAAAGCUGAAACUAUACGAACAAAAACAAACCUCAGACUUCCUCUCCCUCCACACUCCGUAUGGGUGAGCUGCACUGCGUAAUAGGACAGAUUUACUAUAAGGCAUUCUAAACACACUGCAGAUUAGCUACUUUGGUUUUCCUGUUCCCUCCCCCUACACCAAGAAGAACUGAAGAUCUUUGCCUUCCAGAGCUUUCUAUUCAUUUAGCUCAAUCCUCUGGGUUUAGCACUAUGAUCUAGGAAAUCCCUGCUCACUAAGAUUCUUCCCUGCGCUGUGUUCUUCUGGCUCCACUGAGAGCACCCGCCGCCCCAGAAGGGGGCAGUGAAAAAGCAGAGCGUUCAGAAGCCACAAUGCCAAGCCAUUCUCUUCACUUACCUGGAAGACCAGUCGCAAAACUAGGGGACUCUGCUUGAAGCCUCAAAGGAGCUGUGUCUCCAGGCUUUAGCAAAAGCAGAGCAGAUUGUAGGAGUUACCGCCAAAGACCCACUUCUCCCUCCUGCGGCUUUGUGUCUCUCCCGAAUGAUUUCUUGAAGUCCACGCACUAAGCCAAGUCAGGCUGGCUGGCAGGCUCCUCAGAUGCCUGGCCUACCGUUGUCUUUGACUUGAGAUGUGGGUAUUAAAAUGCAGAGUUGUGAGGCCCAGGAAGAGAAUGUCAGAAGGGAAACACCCAAGACGCUGUUCUAUCUGGUUGUCUCUUUGAUUCAAUGUUUUGUCCUUUGUGAGCUCUGCCUAGAUAUUUACAUCAGUUGGAAACAUUCAAACAAUAAAAUUUCAAUGACCUUGCAGACCGUGUCCACUCCCACAAACCAAACACAAAUUGAUUGCUUUUUACCAAUCAAUUUUCUACUGCAGCUUAAGGGAAGACGCCACCAACAUCCAGGGAACCCCGGUCCUGAGAUGAAAACCCUCGGGCUCUUUGGGUUAUUAUAAACUAAAGCCGAACUAUGGAGCCGGAGGUAUUCACUCCCUCACUCUUCCCCCCCGUCCUGAAAAACAGCCAUUUGUUUUUAUUGCUUCUAUAGAUAUUUUUAGUCCUAGGAAAGGAAGAAGGAAAAGAAAAAGGGGAUGGAUCUGGAGAAUAGCCACCCAACUGGAUUGGCUGAAAGGCUCAGGCUUCUGCUGACAUCCGGGACCUCAAAACACAGGUCAAAGGACCAUUUCAAUUCAACCAAUAUACUGAGAAGCUUCUGGUUCAUCUAUUGCUCAGCUACCCUCCAUCUCAAGGAAUAAUGAAAACACCUACAAAAAUAAUAGCUAUGAAUGUUACUAGGCACUUUACAUGCAUUGUCUCAUUUAAUCCUAAAACAAUACUAUGAGAUAGAUACUAUUCUCAUCUGCAUUUCACUUUCAAAAGUGAGUUCAGAAAGGUUAAAUAAUUGGCACAAGGUCACACAGCUAAUUAGGAGUGGGGAUCAACCAGAAGAUCUGAGCUACUGGGACCUUCUAUCUAGUUCUGCCAUGAGCCUAAUAGUGAGAAGUCAGAGAUGAGAUUUUCUGCAUAUGACCUUGUUUAAAGGCACCAUUUAGCAAUCAUUUUGAAGUGUGCUUUCAGGCCAGGAACUGCUCCAGGCACAUUAAAAAAUGACAUCCUGUGCGCCCUCUCAGAACUUCCAAUCUAAGAUCAACUGUUAACAGAACCACCUCCUGCUUGACCACACAGACGACGGACGAAAUACAUGGCCACCGCCUUGCCUCUAAACUACUUUUGAAUCACAAGCCAAGAACCAAACUGUUUUGAGGGAAGAGAUUUUCUACGCUCCUCUGUGAAAAGUGAGGCAGACAGAUCGUCAGAAAUAUCAGCACUGAUAUUAACAGCAACUCCCACGGCUGUAACACACAGUAAGGAGCUUGUGACAAACGUCAGGCUUUCAUCUAAUAUUGUUCACCUUCUUUUUCCUCUCACACGACUGCCCAGCUGAAGCCUACAUCUCACAGCUCCGCUGGCUGCUAGGUGUGACCACAUGACUAAGUUUGGGCAAUAAAAUGAGAGAAGUGAUGGGUGCUACUCCUGGUCUUAAUUUUGAAAGGAUCAGGCGUGCACCUUCUCGUCCCAUUUGUCUGCCUGAGAAAAUAUAAGAACCGGGGAAGCCUCUUUGAACCUAGAGAUGAGAAGUCCCAUGUUGAGGAUGGCAGACUAUCCUCCCGGUUCUGUAUUGCCCACCUCAGGACUGUUACGUGAAGGAGAAAUCAGCUCCUAUCCUGCGUAAGCCACUCUACUUAGGAGUCUUUCUGUUAGAUCAGCUGGCCUGGAGCCCAGUUAGUUUUAUCCUAUUUUAUAUGUAUGGAAACUGCGAAGUCAAAUAACUUCCUUAGUAUCAUUCAUACAAACUUCCAUGAAGAUAU
ensembl:lncRNA